UGGGGAAUCUUGGACAAUUGGGGCAACCCUGAUCCAGCCAUGCCGCGUGAGCGAUGACGGCCUUAGGGUUGUAAAGCUCUUUCACCGGUGACGAUAAUGACGGUAGCCGGAGAAGAAGCCCCGGCUAACUCCGUGCCAGCAGCCGCGGUAAUACGGAGGGGGCUAGCGUUGUUCGGAAUUACUGGGCGUAAAGCGCAUGCAGGUGGUUUGUUAAGUCAGAUGUGAAAGCCCGGGGCUCAACCUCGGAAUAGCAUUUGAAACUGGCAGACUAGAGUACUGUAGAGGGGGGUAGAAUUUCAGGUGUAGCGGUGAAAUGCGUAGAGAUCUGAAGGAAUACCGGUGGCGAAGGCGGCCCCCUGGACAGAUACUGACACUCAGAUGCGAAAGCGUGGGGAGCAAACAGGAUUAGAUACCCCCGUAGUCC
rnacentral:rRNA from 1 species